rnacentral:pre_miRNA from 1 species
GAGUGUGGUGCCCUACUCCAAAGGGUGUCAUUCAUACAGACUAAUACAUGACUGUCACCUUUUUGAGUAGAGUAAUGCACAU